GGCAGUGUGGUGAAGAGGUAUCACGUCUCGGCACAGUAGUGAUCCAUAGCCUUGGACCGAGAAGUCGCCGGUUCAACCCCGGUCGCCGCCA